UGUGAAGCACCUUCUAGCAGUUAUCUUAGAGAUGUAAGUUCAUUUACUUGUCCAGCACUAAAAGGCCAAAGGGGCUUGUUUUCUCACCCAAAAGACCUUCCUGAGGCAGCUGUUCGGAUACAUGCAGAGCACAGCGCCCUGCUCAGAAAGGAAGGUUCAGAGAACAAAUUGUCGUUUAAAACUAUUGGGACAAACCUACCUCUUCUAAAGCUUAAAAUGGUAAGUCAGGGUUUUAGCGUCCACGUUCUGCGGAGAGAAGGCAGACUUGACUGGGGAAAGCGCAGGCUGACCGAGUGUGGCGGGACAGACGGGUAGGGGAGCCAGGUCUCCCGAAGGGGCUAGCAAUGCGCGUCCGAGUCGAAUGCGGGUUCCCGAUGCUAGACGCCCGCAACCUGCUCCCGAGUGAGAACAAAGGCCGGCGCAGAGCGAGAACCUGAUUGGUGCCCGGUCCUCACUCGUGUCCUCCGGGCCCCAGAGAUAACUUGCAUCGCCUACUGGCAAGGAGCUCUGUGCUCACUGGAGCCCAGCUCCCCACCCGGCCAUGGCCGUGGCCACAGGACUGUGCAUUAUGACAUCACCUGUUUUCGAUUUUUAGAACCUAAUCAGUAUUCUCGGCUUCUCCCUUUUUAAAGGUCUCCAGCGUACCAGGAUUUGUGAAGGCCUGAAGUUCGUAGAAUGAAAUCUAUGUGGAGAUGAUUUAAAAGAACGGUUUCACUGAGACCAACACAUAUAAACCAAGUCUACACAAGAAAC
rnacentral:lncRNA from 1 species